CUACGUGCCAGCAGCCGCGGUAAUACGGAAGGUCCAGGCGUUAUCCGGAUUUAUUGGGUUUAAAGGGAGCGUAGGCCGGAGAUUAAGUGUGUUGUGAAAUGUAGACGCUCAACGUCUGACUUGCAGCGCAUACUGGUUUCCUUGAGUACGCACAACGUUGGCGGAAUUCGUCGUGUAGCGGUGAAAUGCUUAGAUAUGACGAAGAACUCCGAUUGCGAAGGCAGCUGACGGGAGCGCAACUGACGCUGAAGCUCGAAGGUGCGGGUAUCGAACAGGAUUAGAUACCCUGGUAGUCCGCACAGUAAACGAUGGAUGCCCGCUGUUGGUACCUAGUAUCAGCGGCUAAGCGAAAGCAUUAAGCAUCCCACCUGGGGAGUACGCCGGCAACGGUGAAACUCAAAGGAAUUGACGGGGGCCCGCACAAGCGGAGGAACAUGUGGUUUAAUUCGAUGAUACGCGAGGAACCUUACCCGGGCUUGAACUGCAGCUGAACGAUUCAGAGA
rnacentral:rRNA from 1 species